AGUCUGCAACUCGACUACAUGAAGCUGGAAUACGCUAGUAAUCGCGAAUCAGAAUGUCGCGGUGAAUACGUUCCCGGGUCUUGUACACACCGCCCGUCACACCAUGGGAGUCGGAAAUGCCCGAAGUCUGUGACCCAACGAAAGAGGGAGCAGCCGAAGGCAGGUCUGAUAACUGGGGUGAAGUCGUAACAAGGUAUC
rnacentral:rRNA from 1 species